rnacentral:lncRNA from 1 species
GAGAGUGUCAGUACUUUAUUAAUUAUAAGCAACAAAUGAGACUUCAUUUGAUUUGUGCACCCGCAUGUUCUUUUGCUGUGGCCGGGGGGAGGUCUCCAAAGUCGCUCAAUGAGAUGGGGAAGGCCAUCUUGCGCCAUUGAAAUCAUAUUUUCCGAUGGGAUCUUGAACGCUUUCUUGACAGGGGGGAACCUAUGCGUCGACUAGCCUUCUGGAGCUUUCGACUAUGAAUAUGUUUACGUGCUUUCAGAGAUUGGGUAGCGGCAUGGAUGCCAAUUAGAGAGAACAAUAGCAAAACGACGUCCUUUCUGUAGCCCAUCGAGGAGAAGGUCCUCCACCCAUCUCAAAGUUGGUCUCACUGCUUGUUUGAUAUAGCAAAGUUCGGCCAGACGGCCGUAGAGACAAAGUCAAUCAUCACAUCGGAGAUUGGUCUACCUUCAGAAGGAACCAAGACUCGCAUCUAUCAUUGACCUCCAAGUGGAAUUUCCGAUGUAUCCCAUUUCCAAAAGAUGUUCCGAUUGAACUGCAUGUACCAAAUAUUGAUUUGGUGAAUUUAUCUUGCUCUAUGGACUUUGUCUAUGGUGUAAAUUGUUAGGUUGCGCGUGUUUUUG